GAUAAGAACCCCUCACUAUAUAAGAAUCUUAAUUAUAUAAGAACCAAUCUCAACCGUACGAUUAAGUAAUUUUGGACGAUUAAGAUUAAAACAAGUAUCCUUCCUCAAACACCUAACCCACCGUCCAAAAUUUUCUCUCUCCUCAAACUUUCAAACCUAUUGUCUUUCUCUCUCCUCAAAUCCCAAAUUCGAACACAAAUUCCUGCAAUUUUUUGUUCAAAUUUUACAUAAACAACUAAAAUUGCUCAAAUUAGGGUUCAAAAUUCGGCGAUUUAAGGGUUCAAAUUACAGCGAUUUUAAGACUUGAAAUAUUAGCAAAAUGCAAGCCGAAAUUGAAGAUAAAUCAAAAGGACAUACUAAUAUACAAGAAGAAGAAAUUACUUAUUGCAGAAAAAGAGUUUCAUCUGUAAAGGGGGCCACUUUCCAAAUACUUUUGAAGACCCUGAAAUCCUACAUCAGGGGUAAGAGUAUGUACUGUACAAUGUACACUGCCUGGUGGAACUUUUUACAUUCUGACAAUUUUGAAAAAAAAAAGGACUCUCACUAAGAUUUCACCUCUGACACUUAACAUUGCUUUCAAGUUUCAACAUUGAGCUGUGACUAUUCAUGCUAUGUUCAAAAUAUUGAAGUAGUUAUUGAUUUCUUUCAGCUUCUCGGAAUAUGUAUUAUGUAGUGAUUAACUGAUAGUUGUUGAGUGUGAUAAUUCAAUGCUAUUAUUUAAUAAGAAUAGAAAAAAUAAUGCUUAGAUAAAUGUACACAUCUCAAAGAGAAAGUGUCCUGUUGAUUGAGAUUUAAUUUGGUUGAGCAGUAUCUGUUUUACUUAUUUCUUGUUACCAAGUAGUCUUACUUAUUUCUGUAUAUGCUACAACUCCUUUCAGAAAGUCCCUCCCUAGGGUCAUAUUGUACUCAAUUGAUAUUCUUUGUUCCAUAAAAAUUGCACCCUGUGCCUGAUGCUUUUGUCCCGGUGAUGAGAUUUAAGUUCAAUGGGGUGUCCAUAGAUCUUCUUUAUGCAAAAUUGUCGCAUUUGAGUUUCUACAUUGCAUGUGAUUGUUUUCCUCGGCUUCUAUGGGAGGGUGUUGAUUUAUAUUAAAAACCUAUUAGCUCAAGUGGUAGAGCACUAUGCAAAUGCAUAGUUGAUAUAGGUUCGAAUCCUACAUAGGCAAUAUUUAUAAAUAACUAUAUAAGAAAAACUUUAGAAAAUAGGUAGUAAAAGUUUAGAACAUAAAAAAAAAAAAAAAAAAAAAAA